rnacentral:lncRNA from 1 species
AGGCAGAGCCAUCUGCCUGUUAUUCGGUUUUUAAUAGAAAUGUCAAAAAUCAAGAAAAUAAGGCAUACCUCUGGCUCAAAAGAAAAGUGAUGGGCUCUAAUGCCUCCUUCUGAGACCACAACCAUUUGAGAAACUUUACCUACCCCUUGGCCUGUUCCACAGGUUAGCUCCUCUCUCCCUCCCUCUGGUACCUUCAUGUUGCCAUUUGAGGACUUUUGUCAAGAGCUUGCAUGAUCCAUGUGAUGCCUUCCCCUCUUUGUCCCUGUGGGACCCCUAGUUCUGUCCUUGUGGGAUCUGUGCUUAGGGAUGAUGUGCAGCGCUGGUAGCCCUCACCUCCACUUCUCCUUGAACCUUAUCUCCAAACAGUCCAUAAUGAGAAACAGACAACUGUGGAAUUGGACAGAGAACCUGGUGAUAAGACUGGAAGCUGCACCCUCCUUAGCUAAGCCAGGGCCAUCUGCACUAGGCCAAUCGUGAUGCCACCCUGAGUAGUCACAGACUGAACUUCAAGCAUCACUCAGGUGACCUGAAACCAAGCCUGGGUAAUAACAAAUACAGAACAAAGUUCCGCUCAACAGAAUUGAGCCAGAUAGCCAUACCAAAAGACACAGCCAACUGCCCAACACCCAGUGCUUAAGCCCCGUCGUAAAAAACACACUGAAAAAAACAAAAAACAAAAAACAAAAACAAAAACAAAGCCAGCAUAUCUUUUCUCAAUAACUAUGAAUCUUUCAAUGAUGGUUCCCAACUCAGAUGACACUCACAACAAAUUCAGAACAACAAACAUAAACAUGUUCAACAUCUCAAAAGAAAUCAAUAAACCCUGGAAAUGAAGGCAAAAAAAAAAUUAAGCAAACAAAAAUACCCAGGAAGCUAUGAAAAUUGAAUUUGAUAAAGACAUAGAAAUAUUGAAGAAAACCCAAACUGAAAUAAAACCCAACCACUUUCUGAAUGGAUUUGAUUCCCAAUUACACAGGAGUGAAUUCACAUCUGGUACUGUAAACCCCAUCAAAACUCAUGGUAAAGAGGUCUUAGGCCCUAAAGGGUGAACUUAAACGGUGCCAAGCCACUUUCUAAACAAAUGUAUAACCAUGAACAACUGUUAUUCCUAACCUUAAACAGAGAAGCUCUCUUCAUGCAGAACAUUACUGAAUGCAGUGGUCAAGGCACUGAGAGUUUAAGUGCUCAGCCCUUUCCUGGACAGUCCUCACCCCCUGGAAGGCUCAUGACCAUUGCAGCAAAGGGGUGGGAAGGACGUAAGAGUAAGAAGAAAGGAAGAAAUUUUGUAAACUGCUGUCUUCUGGGCAUGACACACCCAGCACAGUUAAAACCACACAGGAAUUGAGACCUGGGCCUAUCCACAGAUAUCUAUGGACUGAUCUAUUGGGUACUUACGGAGUCAGGAGGACGAGUAGGCAUUACCCUCAGCUGGGUACCCACUAAGGCUGUAACAGGGCUCUAGUAAAUAGGUCCACACCCCUUGUCAUACAGACUACCCUAGUUAAACAUACUGGGUGUCAUAAGCACAACAAUAAACCUGCUUAACGCGAGAAGGUAAGUAUUAGGUGAUGGGACAGACAACAGAGAUAAAAGGAAAAUUCAGGAGAGGAAGAAUUUUCAUUAGUCAGAAUACAUGUCAUGCAAGUAUGAAACUAUCAAAGAACAAAUUGAAUCAAAGUUUCUUAAAGCAAAGAUAGUUCUUAUGACAUCAUCCUGUUACUUGGAAUUUUUUGAAGAGGAGGGGGGUGUUGUGUGCAUAUACUAUUGGCCUCUUAGGAAAAUAUUGUUUAUAUAAAAUAGAAUAAUGCUCAUUAUGCUUAUCAUUAAAACCAAGAGUGUGGUGGUGUUUUAUAUAAACAUCUGGUUGGAUGUAAUAGAAUCCCAAAAGCUGCUGAUAAUUGGGUUUGUGUGAGAGAAUAAGCAUAAACAGCAUUAGAAAUAACAUUGUCACUUUCUCCAUGGCCCAAAUAGCAUGGGUUCCUGAGAUAGGGAAAACCAUAUUUGUCAGACAGGAAAUUUAUGUUCCCAUGAAAGGGGCACCUGACAUUAUAAUGAAACUCACAAAAGCAUGUAAAGAGGUUUAGAAGAAAACAAAACGUUCCAAAGUGCAGAAAUAAUUGAUGGAAUCAUAAUAAUGCUAAUUUUAAUAACAAUCAAUCUAUGAAUAGCCUGCCAGCUUCACCCUCUAACACAUUGUACUCUUAUUUAUGAUCAUUCUAAUGUAAUUGGAAGUAUUUUUCAAUUAAAAAUGCAUGUAGUACUUGGACAAAAGAAAUGUUUCUUAGGUGGCUGGCUGGCAAUUGUGCUUGCCUCUGGUUCCACUAGCUUUAGAAAGCGAUGCAUUGCAAACUCUAUGUAGAUGCAGUAAUGGGACAAACCAGAGGGCCUACUCCUGCAGCUGGCAAGGGGACCUCAGUGCCAGCUACUCUUCUCCUGUCAUAAACAGUGAAAGAAUCCUGACUAACACUCAUAAAGUGCACACUGAGGCUUCUCUGAUGAGGUCUUUAACACUCACUGGAUGCUUCUGCAGGAGACAGAUGGCCUCAGCCUUGGCCACCUGUCCCAGUUGGUGGAUGCUCUUUCCCAACGAAGCUGCCUGGUGCUGGUUCUCAUGUGGGUGAGCACACGCAUUGCCUUUGUCUUCACUGAGAGAGAAAAGGCAAGGAGACUUUUGCAUUCUGAAAACCCAGUCUAAGUACUGUGCCUUACUUAGCACAGUGGACUUAGUAUACAGUAACAUGUGUUAGCAUAUCUAAUGCAUCAAGAUUGAGGGCACGUACUGACAUUUUAUACAUAGGGUUAGAGAGUAAAGACACUGGGAAAAUGAGUCAUGUAACAGAUACAGAUUUUUAUGCCUCUGAUGGAGAGAGCCUGGAGCCAUAUACAAGGAAGGAUUCCUCACUUCCAAAAGCUCUUGUCAUUUGUUCUACAUUUUCAAAGAGUGAAACAAAGGAAGAAUUUGGUUGUGGUAGUUUAUUUUAUGUAAAGUAUGCCAUAGAAUACGCUAUUUUUUAAACAUCAAAUUAUUUCCUCUAUUCUAAUAAGUCCUUUUCUCGCUGAGAAUGACAAUAAUUGUUAUAAUUGUUGUUAUGAAGAAACUACUUGCCUGGAAAGAACAUCUACUAUAGCAAGUUUCUUUACACGUAUUAAUUCAGUUGAUUCAUAAAUAUUGUCAAGAGAUAUCUAAGUUCAAUUGGUGUCAUUGCAUUACUGAUGGAAAAAAAUCUGUGACAUGCAGAACUAAAGCUGUUAGCCUAGGGAUGCAAGGCUUCCUAUUGGAAAAGCCAAAUUUGAGUCCAAGUGAAAGAUCUCGUGGCAUCUAGACCUCCAGCCUUCAGUUUGUAUUUGGUGAUGUUGAUAUUAGGGUGAUAUUUUAAGAAGAGACUCUGAGGGGUUCCUGAAGAGCUGGUAGUUGUCAGUGGAUAAGCCCUACCUUCUCAUUUCUCUCAAACUUUUACCACUUCAGAAAACACCUUGAGAAGAGACUUGUGGGAUGGCUGAACCACUGAAUAUAAAUAUACUUCUGAAAGGCAACUCAAAUGUGUCGUUAAAGGAAACAAUGAAACCUCUGUACAAACUAGAAGAUGUCUCUUCCUUUUCUUUCAAAGCAAGCUCUGCUCUCCUGGUUCAUACCACAAACACAUCGAACUUUUAAGUUGCCACAUGCUGUCUUGGAUCAACUCACCAAUAACCGAAGCAAUAAGCUCUUACCCUCCCACAGCCUACCACCCCGCCCCCCUUGUCUCCCUGCCUCUUUCCUCUCUAAUUAGAUGCAUGCUCUCCUAAGAAGCACCUCCCAUGAUCUUUCGAAUGCUGUGGAUAAGAAAUGUAGAAUUCGAAUCUCAGUGGUAGGUGCUAUGGACUCAUUGCUGUCUCAGGCAUUCGUGUUCAGGACAAUUUUACUCUUACACAUUAUGUGCUGCUGCCUCUUGCCGCUGCUAGCAAAAACAUUGUGAAAAUGGAAAGGACUUUUGGGGUCAUAAAUUCCCUAAUAAUUGAAUCGAAACAGUGUUGAACCCAAACGUGUAACAGCAGCAGCUUAGGAUAGACAGAUGUCUUUCUGUGCUAGUGCGACAGUAAGAAAGUACCAUAUACGCAAUAAUUUUUAAACAAUAGAAAUUUACAUCAAAAUUUUCUUGAGCUGGGGGUUUAUAAUUGAGAUUUUGGCAAAUACCGAGGGUUGGCAGGUAUCUAGUGAGAACAGGUUUCUUCUUCCUCAAAAUAGACACUGUUCUAAUCAAUCUCCCAUAGACAACAAAGUCUGUCCUCAGAGAGCCAGAGGGGACUCCAGAUCUUACAUAAAUCUUCGUACAAAGUAACUUACCCAUUCAUGAGGUUGGGGCCCUCAUGACCUAAAUAACUCUUGAAAGAUUAGCAUCUAUUCCUGAAAUGUAGCCCUACUAUGAGAAGGGAUUAAAAUAUAAGAUGUGUC